rnacentral:rRNA from 1 species
UACGGAGGGUGCAAGCGUUAUCCGGAUUUACUGGGUUUAAAGGGUGCGCAGGCGGAUAUGUAAGUCAGUGGUGAAAUCUCUAGGCUUAACCUGGAAAUUGCCGUUGAUACUAUAUAUCUUGAAUGUUGUGGAGGUAAGCAGAAUAUGUCAUGUAGCGGUGAAAUGCUCAGAUAUGACAUAGAACACCAAUUGCGAAGGCAGCUGGCUACACAAAUAUUGACACUGAGGCACGAAAGCGUGGGGAUCAAACAGG